UAGGCUGAAGCCCUCUGGCUAAGGUGUUUAGUUGUUAACUAAAGUGUUGCGGGAUCGAGGCCCGUCAGUCUAGG
rnacentral:tRNA from 1 species